CUACCGUUAGCUCAGUUGGUAGAGAUGUAGUUAUUACCAAAUCAGUAUUCCUUAGGUCACCGGUUCGAACCCGGUACGGUAGA
rnacentral:tRNA from 1 species